CUGAAAUAACCCCCUAUUCAACCAAGAAAUCAAUCCUAACUUGUAAAAGAAGCUAUGGACAAGAGGGCGAGAAACGCGAAAUCCUGGUGGGAGAUAGCGCUUUCUCUUUUCCCCCAGAAAGUCUCAAGGUAGCAGCUCUCCGAGAUCCUUAAGCAAGGAAACUCACCCGCCGCGCUGCGGCUUCGCGGCCAGCAGGGCUGGGACAUACUCGCCGCCCGCUUCCGCACCGGGGACAGCUCCUGCCUCUCCAACUCCCGCAGCUCUUCCCGACGUCUUGCCGCGGACUGUGCCUCACAGGCUGCGGGAGGGGAGAGUGUCUCCCCACGCCGGGGUCCCGGCCUCUGGGUUUUAGGGAGCGCGAAUGGGUCUCCGAGAGCAUCGGGAGCAGCAGGUGGCGCCUCAGGCUGCGGUGGCCACGAGACCGACUGCACUACGGCGUUGCGGGACCGCGCCAGCGCGGAGGAGACCGAGCCCAUCUCAGCAGGCCGGGCCGGACCCAGGCUGUACUUCCCCGAAAGCCCACCUUUACUGUUGGAGGCCGAGACCAGAGAGGGAAGCGGAAGUGCACGGGGAGUCAGCUCCGC
rnacentral:lncRNA from 1 species